rfam:Physcomitrella patens subsp. patens PHYPAscaffold_5 genomic scaffold, whole genome shotgun sequence.
AGUCGCAUUGGGAAUGUCCAUGACGAUCUGUCAACAUUUCAGGUUAUGUUGACGGGUCGUGAUGGGCACUCUCACUGUCUCA